rnacentral:tRNA from 1 species
CAGGGAGACAACAAAAUGUUUAAUAUUAUUAUUUUGUCACCUUAGGUCGAUCGGUAUCUCACGUUCUUAAUUUAUUAAGAAUUUUAUUUCCUAAGUUUUUCUAGGUCACACCCAUUAUUUUCCUGGGCCAUUAGCUCAGGUGGUUAGAGCGCACCCCUGAUAAGGGUGAGGUCCCUGGUUCAAGUCCAGGAUGGCCCAUAUCUCUAUGUUGGGGGUAUAGCUCAGUUGGUAGAGCGCCUGCUUUGCAAGCAGGAUGUCAGCGGUUCGAGUCCGCUUACCUCCACUGAUUACCACCUCUUCCAUAAUCUGUAGAAAGGAAAAUUUUUUGAGUUGUGAUCAUUAUUCUGAACGAAUCUAGCUUCCUAAUGAAAUUAUUAAGAUGCUGGACUCAUUGAAUUAAUUUCAUUGUUUUCAGAGAACCUUGACAACUGCAUAGAUUAUUUUAAAGACAAUAAGCAUCUUUAAUGAUGCAGAUUUAUUAUUUUUGCAAAUGCAUUAAUAACAAUUCUAUUAAGCUGAUGCUUCAAUUAUGAAGUUAUU